rnacentral:lncRNA from 1 species
UUGACGAUACAUCUACUGAAGAAGAAGAGGAGACCUCGUUUCCUCUCUGCAAACCACCCUAAGCCUAAUGAGUGUGAGGAGUCAAGCUUAGAGACUUAAAACAAGCUCACUUGGGAGGAAGUCCCAUGUCUAUCCAUGUACAUAUUUUUAUUUCCUUGUUAUUUUUAAUGCGUUUGGUAGUGUUUUGGUUUUCAGGAAAUGAGUAUCAAGUGCAAAGUGAAGUGGUCUUGAUUUUUGAAUUUUGGAGGUUAUAUUCGAUCAAGCAUAUGGGAUGACAGUGGUACAGUGCAAUCGAGUAUGCAGUGGGGUUUUGGUUCCAAGAUUUUUGGAUUUUCAACAUGUCAC